AUACGGAAGGUGCGAGCGUUAUCCGGAUUCAUUGGGUUUAAAGGGAGCGUAGGCGGAGCGCCAAGUCAGCUGUGAAAUCCCGCGGCUCAACCGUGGAACUGCAGUUGAAACUGGCGCCCUUGAGUGCACAUGAGGAUGGCGGAAUUCGUGGUGUAGCGGUGAAAUGCUUAGAUAUCACGAAGAACCCCGAUUGCGAAGGCAGCUGUCUGGGGUGCCACUGACGCGGAGGCUCGAAAGUGUGGGUAUCAAACAGGAUUAGAUACCCUGGUAGUCCGCACAGUAAACGAUGGACACUCGUGGUCGGCGACACACUGCCGGUCACCAAGCGAAAGCGAUAAGUGUCCCACCUGGGGAGUACGCCGGCAACGGUGAAACUCAAAUGAAUUGACGGGG
rnacentral:rRNA from 1 species